CACAGAAUGAAAAUUCCUCACUUGCAUUUGCAUCUCUUCCACCUGCACCCCUCACACCACACACACGCACGUGCACACACACACAAUCUAUAGCGACUUGGUAGGGAUAGAAGCAAUAUAUAAAUGGUCAAAAGAUGCACCACAUCAGAGAACGCAGAUGUGCAGCCUUGCAUGCUAAGGUGAGAGAGGGAGAACUGCCUUUGUUACCAAACCUGCUUCAGUUCCCCCAGAGCAGCUUUGACAAACUCAUUCAUUCUGCCAAACUCAUGUGAGCUUCUCAGGAUGGACCUAGAGAGUAGCCAAACAUUUCCUUCAUUUCUUUUUCAUGGAUCCCAUCCUUGGGCCAUAAAGGAAGGGAAAUAAGAAGACUUGGGAGUUCCAGAGAGCUGCUGUCAGAGCCCAGCUGCAACGCUUGGGAGCCAAGUUAUUUAACUAUUCUUAAACCUCACUUUUCUCCAUGCAGUUGCACAGCUGUUGUCGGGAUUAGCAUUUCUAUGCUUAAAAUGCUCUAAGUCCUCACUCUUGUAAUCCCAGCUCUCUUUGAGAAGCCGAGCUGGGACUACACCACUCCUGGCUCAUACUGUAUUCUUAAGGAAGGACGUGGUAUUAUUUCCAGUUUAUAUCUGUAGAGCAUCUGUAGAGUGAAGGGGCAGAAGCAUCAAUUCUGACAACUUCAGGCCUUUGCUCCCAAUGCACAUUGAACAUUUUUCAUGUGUCAUGCUGGGUGCUGCGUAAACACAACAUGCAUGGCUCACACUCUCACUGGCUGACUGUCUUUGGGAGAAAGAAGAUAUCAAAGGAGAUUUAUAAGAGUAAAAUGACUUCCCAGGAGAAGUGCAGGCAGCCACAGUAAUUUGGAACCACCUGGUCCAUGAAGCGUUCAGCAGAAGCUUCCUCCAGAAGCUUCGUUUUACUUGAGAUCUGAUUAAUCUUUUUUGUUUUUUUGUUUAUUUUACUUUAAGUUUUAGGGUACAUGUGCACAACGUGCAGGUUUGUUACAUAUAUAUAUAUGUGCCAUGUUGGUG
rnacentral:lncRNA from 1 species